CAAUGUUGGAUAAGAGUCACACUGAACCCAAUUGGCCGCCGGCAAACAGAGCCGGACUUGGUCGUCGGCGAUUUGGCGACCGUCUUAGCUCCGCUCCGCAUACCACCGCGAUUGCCCGGUAAAUUAGGCAACAUAGAUAACUGAAAGAUUUUACAGGAAUUCAAGAGUCCCCGAUUCACUGGUACUAUUCCCUCUCUCUCUUGGACCUAUUAUUAUUACUAUUCGCAACACGCUAUGCAAAUUCUGCAACUGAGGUCUUCAUUUCAAUUAUUGCUAUUGCGUAUCGGUUUGAUCCAUCUCUGUUAUGAUUCUAAUAAUUUAGUCGUACUUAGCGUAACAACAAUCGGUUUGAAUCAUUAAUAUAUAUUUAGUCGUACAGUAUGCUAUGUGUUCAAUUCAACCCUAGGGUAGAAGACUGAUGAGAUUGUUAUAUAUUUGUUCUUGAUUUCUUCUUGCUUGGUUAUUGACAUGUUGCUAACUUGCGUGCUAAUCAUGAAUGUGUUGAAAAUUAAGAUUCUACGUGAUAUCGGGAGGGGGACGAAAGAUCGUAACUCGAGAACUAUAGCAUGAAUCAUAAGAUCUUGCUAAUAGGGAAAAAGUACACCAUAUAUAGUUAUAGUUAUAUAUGCACAUGCAUAAUUUUAUCGUAGACGAAUAAAAUAACCUCUAAAUCACGACAUUAAAUAAGGUUCAUAAGUUCAUAACUACAAAUUUAUAGCGACAAGUUAAUAAAUAAUACACACAAGUAAUAGAGAAACAAAGGGAAGAGGGAGGAGGCUCCGUCGUAGUUACUGGUGGAGGAUAGUUUAAGAGGUGACUCGCUGUCGCUGGCAGAAGAGGAUUUGUUUUGGCCGUGAGUCUGAAGAGAGAACGCGUGAGGAAGAACGAAGUUGUUAUUAUUUCUGAUCUAAAUUUGGAACCUGCUUUUUAAACCCGACCCGAACUGUUUCAAUUUUAAUAAACUGGUUUAUUAAUGUGGCUGAAAAUGGAGACCCAGAUUAAGAAACAAAUCAAGUGCAGCCAACUUGCAAUAAAUACCACUAGUUUAUUGAAUAUCCGCCAUGGCGGCGUGAUGAUCGACAUUAAUGGAGUUUUUGGGCUGGUCACAAUGGUAAAUAUCGGCUGAUAUUGCUACUUUUUCCGCCAUAAUUCGCUAUGAUGGCGCCACAAAGCAGCCAGUAUGGCGGGAUUAUGGCUUUCCACCAUGGACCGCCAUCCGCUAUUGGAAACACUGCUUGAAUCACAAGAUGGUGUGAUCCCCCACACUCCAACUCGCGUUCCCAUCAACAUUAGGGUAAAUCUUGAUAUGAAAAGUGUUGCAAAUGAAUUUAUGAUGGCUUACCGAGUUUGUCUAGUUUGCUUGUGUCCAAGAUCAGCAAACAAAAAAUUCGAGAAUUUUGGAAGAAGGGAAUUGAAAGAAACAAUAGUAUGUAUGGGCUAAAUUUGAAUAGAAAAAGAUAUUUAAGAAUCAAGUUCGAAGAGGCAACAGUGUAAUAAUGAUUUUAUUUUUUCUACAUUGAAACUAGUGUUUUUAAAACUUGAUUUAUCAUUGAAUUAGUGAAAAAUAACAAAGAUAUGGUUCAGGCUUCACUAUUUACCGAUAAUCGAAUUACUGGUGAUUAAAUAUAUGUUUUUAAUUAUGUAUGAGUUAAAGGGACAUCCACAGAUAGUGUAAAUUUGUUUUACAUUGACAUCCAAUUGGAACUCAUCAUUUCGCCACUUCAUAUCAACAAUUUCAGUAUAAACUAGGAGUGAGAUGACAUGGCAAAAUAGUGGACUCUCAUUGGAUGUAUGUGUAAAACAAAUUUACAUUGAUAUUACAUGUUCUUUGAACUAAACCGAAAAUGUCAGGAAUAUUGCCAAGUGAAAAAAAGUAGCAUAAAUAGAUAGUAUCCAACUCCUCAUCUCCAUUAGGCACAACUGUAGUGAGCCUGUGGAUAGCAAGAUGGCCACAAUUCGUGACUGCGAAAACUGCCAUUUUUGAAGGUGGUUCCCAGAGAGAUGGCAUCGCACCCGAACCCUACCACUCACGCUUUUCCGCUAUAGUGGCGCUAUUGACAUCCUUCUUUACAAACCGGUUAUCUAAGGUUGAGUGAGGUCCACUCCAAAUUUUAAGAAAGACACAUGCAAAUUCAUAACUUACUAUACAUGGGGUUAAUAUAAGUAAUUGACUUUCUGCCUGACUCAACACACAAUACUUUUUUCUCCAAGGUGAGAGCUCACUUUAGAAGAGGGAAACCAAUUUUCUUAGUUGCCAAAGUCAAGAUUAGAUGUUAUUAUCUUAAAUAAAUUUUAAAUUAGGAGCACCUAACUGAACUUGAAAGGGUAUGAAAUGUGAGCCUUUGAAAAUGCAUGAUCAACAAUGAUUAACAAGACUUAAUAUGUAAGAGGGUUUGACCCUAUGUGCUAUCUUCAUCCUCUGCUUGCCACACACAACAUGACACACCAACUCUUUUUUUAGAGGAUAGGAAUUUGCUAUCUGUGAUUGUGACUGAAUUCUUUUAGAUUACCAAUUUUCUAUUGUUCGCACUUCCAUGGUUUUUCAUUGUACCUGCAUCUGAGAAUUUGAUUUAGUCCUAAACUUCUAAGAUAGGAAAGUAUUUAGAUUCAACACAAAGUGCCACCAUUAGAUGCUUGCUUGUGCCCCACUCCGGGUGAGUAGAGUUUCAUCUUGUAAGUUGUGAGUGGCUUGGUUAUUCUUAUUUUCUAAUGCUAUAUAUUUAGAUCAACCUUCUUUCUAACAAGUAAUUGAAUUAGGAUCGCAUGAUGUUUUUAACACUUCCCUCUAAUCCAUGCAAUGGACUGGAAUUAUACUUCUAAGGAAAUAUAUUAUUAAGAAACAUUGUGUUGCCAGUUUUUCAUGUUUGGGCUAAUCUAAUCCAUUAAUAGUAUCCACGACUCCACGCACAUAAUAGUGCGACAUAGAUAAUAUAAUAUUAAUAAUCAUUUUGGGCCUUGAAGGAUAAGGGAUUAAUCCAAUUUGUCCGAAGAGAUAGAAAUCACAAAAGUAGUCCCUAAGAGACUGUUUGCGAGUUAGGAGGGGAGGCAAAGGGAGAGCUUCGAAAAAAAGAAAUUUAAAGAAAAUAUAGAGAAAUCUUUAACAUUUUUUGAAAGAAUGAUUUUGAAUAAAAUGAUAAAUGAAUGUUUAUCACUAACAUAUUUUUAAUUUUCGGAAUAUUAUAACAACAUACGUUAAAGUUCAACAAUUUAUCUAAACUUUCCAAAAUCCUCCAAACCCCUCUUCCAAUACAAUUUUUUAGUUCUCCUAAACUAGAGGAACUUUAUAUUAUGAAUGAAAAUAAACCCCACAAAACUCUCUACUUAGAUCUCUCCAUUUCUUUUCACGCAAUGCUUCGCUUUUUUCAAAGCUCUCCCCUCCGUUCUCCUCCAAACUCCCAAACAAAACUUAUGGUUAUGUUUGGGAGUUGGAUUUUGGAGGAUAGGUUUUAGGAAGGCAGUGUCUAUAUUUUAUUUUGGGAAAAACUCUAACAUAAGUCUCACUUCGGUUAAAGAUAGCGUCUAACAAGGAAUUAUAUAAAGUAACACCCCUCACCGUACAAGUCAAUUUUGUAGGAAUGAGUUAUGCCAAAUUUUAAUUCUAACAUGGUAUCAAGAGUCUAUUGAUUCGGGCCACCCACCAUUUAUAUAUCCGCACCACGCCCAAUAGUGUUGGGUGUAAGGGGGUGUAUUGGAAAAACCAAGUCCCACACAAUUUGGGCCACCCACCGUUUAUGCACCAAGCUCAGUAGUGUUGGGCGUGAUGGAGUGUAUUGAAAAAAAUCCAAGUACUCAAAUUUUGCAUUGGUUAAAUAUAGAGUCUAAUAAGAGUUUAUAUAGAGUGAUACCCCUCAUCUUACAAGUUAAUUUUGUAGGGAUGAGUUAGGCCCAAUUCUAAUUCUUACAUUUUAAUAUAUAUUAAAAAUAUGUAUUAGAUAUUUUAACUUUUGAAAAAAUAGUGUAAAACACACCUUAAAUGAUGACCCCAUCUGUAAAUUUGGUUUUAAAUUAAAAGCCUUGAGUUAAAAUUUGCAGAGUUGCACAUGUGGGGCUUUAAGAGUUAAUUGGGAUCAGUGUUAUCAAAUAGCGGCAUCAUGACCUAUUAGGAAGAUCCUAAAGUUCCACAUUGGUUGGAGAUAGAGGAUUGAAAGAGUUUAUAUAGAGUGACACUCUCCUCACCUUGCUAACCGGUUUUGUAAGGAUGAAUUAGGUCAAACUCUAAUAUGGUAUCAGAGUUUAUUGAUCAGGCCAUGGGCCGCCCACCGUUAAUAUACACGCACCAAGCCCAAAAGAAUGUUGGGCGUGAGGGGGUGUAUUAGGAAGAUCCUAAAGUUCCACAUUGGUUGGAGAUAAAGCAUUGAAAGAGUUUAUAUAGAGUGACACUCCUCACCUUACUAACCGGUUUUGUAAGGAUGAAUUAGGUCAAAUCUAAUAUGGCCGCUACGACGGAUAUAUAUGGCGGUUUUUGGACUCGCUGCAAUGAUAAACGUCGGCCAAUAUCACGGGUAUUUCUACCAUAGUCCGCUAUUACAGCGCCGCAAAACGGCCGGUAUGGUGGGAUUUUGGCUCUCCGCCAUGGACCGCCAUAGACAAUAGUGAUUGGGAUUCACAUAUGGCAAAAUUUUACUCAUCUUCGUCAAAAAAUUUCAUUAUUUCUUCUUUCCCCAUUUUAUCAAAAAAUGAAUCAAGGAGGUAAAAAUUCAUUUUUGUUCCACAUCUUGGUCUUAGAUGGCCUUAUGUAUUCUAUUUAUAUUUAUAUUUUCCAGCAAUAAAAGGGCAGGGAGUGUAGUAAAAAGGAUUAGUUUACAUGGUAUAGUAUCAGUGAAACUAUAGUAAUUGCUAAUUAGAACAACUAAUUUAUCCUUAGGCACUAGUGGAUGGUGGAAUUAGUCGGUAGUGUUAUCAAAUUUCCCCGCUAUGGCGGAUAUACAUGGCAGUUUUUGGGCUCGCCGCAAUGGUAAAUAUCGGUUGCUAUUGUGGGUUGUUCCACCAUAAUCCGCAAUAAUGGCGCCGCAAAGCGGCCGGUAUUGCGGGAUUUUGGCUCUCUGCCAUGCACCACCAACCGCUAUCGACAAUACUCGGCCGGUAGACCAAAUACCGGGUUUUCAGAAAAAUGAAAAUAGAUAAUGUAACCUCAGGUAGCAUUUGCUAAAUAAUUUGGAACAGAACAGACUCAAUUAAAACAAAAAGGUAAAACAAGUACUGCAUUUUGAUUUCAUUGGAAAAAAGGUGGAAUCAAAGAGAAGAAAGCAAAAUACGUAGUUCCAUUCCGUUCUGUUUGUAUGCCAUAUGCUUCUAGUAUCUAUACUCAUCAAAUUACACGGCCACACACAUACGUAUAUAUAGUUGCGGUCAGUGUUAUCAAAUAGCGGCGCCAUGACCGCUAUGGCCAGUAUGGUGGGAUUUUGGCUCUCCGCCAUGGACUGCCAUCCGCCAUUGACAACAUUGUUUGCAGUUCCUAUGUAACCUCAUUCAUCCUUCUCAACUGCUUGAGUUUUGCUUUUCAUGUUUAAUUAUUUGAACUAGUUGCUAUCGUUGCAGUUUUGUCCACUUUUUUCAGCCACCUGGGCCCCAUUAGAGGGUGCCACACUUUUGCCCAAUCCAAAACCCCUGUUUUGUCAUUUUUGGAAUCAUAGCGGUAUAUCUUAACUUUUCGCGAUAGAUAUGAUACUUCUUUUGUUGGAUCAUGCAUGAUAUUUAAGUAUUUCUAUUACAUCUAGCCUUUUUUGCCAGCAAUGGCUUGAAACAGACUAUCAAAUUUUGAAAAAGGGAUAAUUCAUCAAAGGCUUAAUUUCUCCCCUAGAAAGCCAUACCAGAGCACUGCAUAGCAGCUUGGUACUGAACAUGUGGUUCAACCCAAAGUUUAAACAGAAGUUUUCUUCCUAGAUAAGGACACAGACAACCCAUGUAAUCAUGUUGAAGCUUCUACAAGUAUAUAAUAACAAUGAAAUUUUAUUUA